rnacentral:lncRNA from 1 species
CAGAGUGUCAUCUAAGGGAUAUCUUGACAUGCUUAGUCAGUAGAUUAGCAAUCUAUCAUAGAGACUAAAAAUUUUAGAAAAGACUCAAAGUGAGACAUCUGAGUAAUCUCAGAAUGUUGAGCGAUUGACUGCAGAAGCUACCAGAAUUAUAAGAAGAGUUGAAGAAAUUAUCAUUUCACAGCAUGGCAGCAUAAAGAUCUUUAUCACUGCGGCUCAACGGAUCGAGGCACAGAUUGGUCAGCUCAUGGCUCGAUCAUCCCUAGCCAGCCUACCUAGCCCAGACCUUCCGCUAGUCAGCCUCACCCAUCUAUGUUAGACCCCCCUUCAGUGCCUCAGUAAGACCUGGCACUGGCUUCCCUCCUAUCUGCCCUGGGCCCUUUACAAGGACCCAAAGCAA